rnacentral:rRNA from 1 species
UUACGCUGUUAUCCCUAAGGUAACUUAAUCUAAUGAUCAAUAAUAUUGGAUCAAAUAAUCAUAUAUUAAUGUUAAAUAAUUAAAAAAGUUAUUUUUAUUUUCUUGUCACCCCAACAAAAUACUAAGUCCCAUAAUUAAAAUUAUUAUAUAAAAAUCAAAAAAGUAAAUAUAAAGCUCUAUAGGGUCUUCUCGUCUACCAAUUAAAUUUAAGCCUUUUGACUAAAAAGUUAAAUUCCAAUUCCAAAUAAAAUGAGACAGUCAAUACCUCGUCAAACCCUUCAUUCCAGCCCUCUAUUAAAAGACUAAUGAUUAUGCUACCUUUGCACGGUCAAUAUACCGCGGCCGUUAAAAUAAAUCACUGGGCAGGUCAGACCUUUUAUUCAUAUUCAAAAGGACAUGUUUUUGUUAAACAGGCG